rnacentral:rRNA from 1 species
UACGUAGGGGGCAAGCGUUGUCCGGAUUUAUUGGGCGUAAAGAGCGUGUAGGCGGCUUUACAGGUCCGUUGUGAAAACUCGAGGCUCAACCUCGAGACGCCGGUGGAAACCGUAAAGCUAGAGUCCGGAAGAGGAGAGUGGAAUUCCUGGUGUAGCGGUGAAAUGCGCAGAUAUCAGGAGGAACACCAGCGGCGAAGGCGGCAUCCUGGACUGGUCCUGACACUCAGGAGCGAAAGCGUGGGGAGCGAUCCGG